AGAGUUUGAUCCUGGCUCAGGAUGAACGCUAGCGGGAGGCCUAAUACAUGCAAGUCGAGCGGUAGAGAUUCUUCGGGAUUUUGAGAGCGGCGCACGGGUGAGUAACGCGUACAUGACCUACCUUUAAGACCGGAAUAGCCCUGGGAAACUGGGAUUAAUACCGGAUGUGAUAAUAGAUAUAAAGAUUUAUUAUUAAAGUUACGGCGCUUAGAGAUGGAUGUGCGUCUGAUUAGCUAGUUGGUAGGGUAACGGCCUACCAAGGCUACGAUCAGUAGGGGGCGUGAGAGCGUGGCCCCCCACACGGGUACUGAGACACGGACCCGACUCCUACGGGAGGCAGCAGUAAGGAAUAUUGGUCAAUGGACGAAAGUCUGAACCAGCCAUCCCGCGUGCAGGAUGAAGGUCCUAUGGAUUGUAAACUGCUUUUAGCAGAGAAGAAAAGCAUCCUUUUAAGGGUGUCUGACGGUAUCUGCUGAAUAG
rnacentral:rRNA from 1 species